rnacentral:tRNA from 1 species
GCGGAAGUAGCUUAAUGGUAGAGUUUUACCUUGCCAAGGUAAUCGUUGAGGGUUCGAAUCCCUUCUUCCGCU